ensembl:lncRNA
CAAACAAACAAAAACAGUCGAAUGCCAGAGACUUUCACGGUUUAUCACAGCUUUUUCUUGAAUCCUAUUUCUUAAAUUGCCAGCGCGGUGUAGCCCCGUUUCGGACACUCUCUGCAGCCGGUCACAGCCCCAAAGAGAAGCGGUGGCGCCCGCCAUGUAGAAGGAGAGAUCCGCCGUCCGUGCCAGCUUUCCCGGCUUGUUUGUUUGUCUUACAACGUUACUUUUCCCCGCUGACAUCACCUGGCGGGGGGAGCACCGAGCCCACUGAAUGCUGCCCGUGGGAGUGCGGGAGCAGAGGGGGCGCAGCAGGGAGCGGGGGUCGCCAGGGCUCUCCCGACCGGCAGCCGCGGCCCCGCGGCGUGCCAAGGGUUAACUGUGCCCGCUGCGGGGCUCUGUGCGGCCAGGGAUGGAACUUCCCCCAGAUGCCUUCAAGAGGAGAGCGAGUCCCGCAGCGCCGGUUCCAGCGGGCCGGGCCGGGCCGGAGCGGGCCGGGGGCGGCCGCCACUCCCCCGCAAGGAGCUCAUUUCCAUGUCUGCGCUCCCGCAACUGUGAGAAAAUCCGCCCGGACCAUCCCGCGUGCCGAUGCUGCCUGGGCUGCCCCGGUCGCCUUGGUGACAGAGCCUGGGGGGAACCACAUCAAUAAAAUAAAGCGAAACUUUUCCCGGAGCCGGCGCAUGGCGGGGAGAGGGGGAUAACCCCACGUCCACGCGUGUCGUUCCUGGGGCCGGACCGCCUGAACACCCGCCUGGAGCCGUGCGCGGGGUGGGGGCAGGGAGGGGCUGGUGCAAAAGUGCCCAGGGACAGUCCGGGAGGGGGAAGGGAGCGCUGAACAGCCCCACACUUAUCAAUAACAAGAUGUAUAAAUAUCAAAGUGAAGAAGCCCGAGUAAGUCUUUCUAGAAGCGCGGAGGAAGCUUAAGCAGCUUUCUUUAAUGGUGAUUUGUAGCUCUGUAAGGGGCACGGAUAGCAAAUACCCUGCAGGUGCAUGUUGUAACACUGCCAUCCGGACUUUAAUGUAGAUUACUCUCCAACUCGUUUGAUCGGUCCUUUGAAACCCUUUACAAUUGCCUGUGACGAACCGCCAGUCUCAGGUUUUUUUUCUUUGAAUAAUGCCUUAAGGGUAAGUCCUCGGGGCUUUCAAAGAUCUCCAGCACAUUAAAAAAAAAAAAAAAAAAAAAAAAAAAAAAAAAAAAAAAAGGAAACACGUUAGGUUUUUACUUUAGAGCGUGGGUCCAUGUCUCUCAACUUGGGGCUGUUAGCAGGCAUCUUUUAAAUCAUUAUUCAUCUAAUAACCAUCAACUUUGUAAGGGAGAUACGAGCAUCUUCUAAAGACCUCCAAACAUUUCUGUGGCAUUUGGGAACACACUGGUUAAAAUUUAGGAGGCACACAGCCCAUCCCUCCUGCUGAAGCCCUGGAGCUGGUGGGUCUCCGGUGUUUAUGGACUCUCAGCUGGAUAAAUCUGUGCUGAAGGCCUUUUCUCUGGACAUCGAGAACCUCCCGGAGUGGGUUUGGAGAGUAAACCCGAAAGGUGAUGCAGGAGAGAAUCCCAGCCGGGGGGCCUCCCUAAUCUCCCCUACGGACAUCCCGCAUCCCGGCCCUGCUCUGGGACCCUCGCCCCUGCUGUGUUGGUGCUUUCCAGCAAAGAGUGAGCAGUUUUUGAGGGGGUUAAAGAAAAAAAAAAAAAAAAAAAGACUCGAAGACAAAAUAAAUCCCUCAGAUGUUUCCACUCUCACAGCAAAUAACGUUUAACCUUUAAUAUUUAUUCGUUGCUAUUAAUUCAAAAAAAUAAUUACUGAACUUUUGGCCCUUCAACUUCCACAAGCGGCGCUUUGUUUCCCUAAAAUAAACUUGGGAGAAGCGAUCCCUCCGUAUCAAACUAGGGGUUUGAAUUAAAGGCCCAUUUGGGACACUUGAGACUACAAAGGGUUACACAUAAAUAAAUGCCACAUUUGCCUAUUGCAAAAGUUUUCCCUGUCCUUUCUCAGUCACAACAGGGGAGGAAAAAGCCGUCGUUUAUUAUCUAGUGCUGGGCAGGAGCAGCCCCUCUAGAAUGUGCUCUUAGAUUUGGCCGGCAGAAGAGGGACUCUUCCCCCCCCCCCACCUCCCCAACAGCAGCUCCUUUUGUUCUCCAGAUCUCUUUCCCAAUUUCAAGCUUCACUUGCAGAUCCUAAGUUUGUUUGUUAAUGACGCUAUUACCAUCUGGCUCGUCCUACUUUCCAAAAGAUAUAAAUCUCCCCAGUUUCAUUGCCUACAUUAUCAUCUAAGUGCCACCAUAGCUGGAAGAAAAAUAUGCUUUCAAGGUUGCGAAUUCUCUUGCACGGAGCGAGUUCCCCGGGCGCGGGGCUGCCGCCCGCCCCGCCGGGCUGCGCCCGCUCGGGAGGGAUGCGGCCAAAUGGAUUUCACCUUGCAGCGAUGCUGGGAGAGGGAGAGACCGCAGCAUUUCAGUUUUCCACCAGAAACUUAAGUGAAUCUUGCCCCCAUCCCCCGCCCCCCAUCCCUCUCGGCCCCUUUUGUGGCUGUUUAAUGCAUCUGGCUACUUUGAACCGUUAUCUUCCGCGGGGAGAGGGACGCGCGCCCGCCCGGCGGGGCGAGGGCAGGAUGGGUCCUGCUCCUGUUUGCCCUCACCCAGCGUGAACCCCCGUCUCUCCGACAGAACUACAUAUUCCAUACGUGUGAAUAAACCUUUCCCACAGGAGUUGUACAGUAAAGGAAAGAAAACUUUGGGCUCCUCUUAGUGCAAAGCGGCUGCAGAUUUGUGUGCGUUUAAGCAUAAAGGGACGGGGGGAGGGCGAGAAGGGGUGGGGGAGGGAGUUGGGUCGGUUUGUGUAUGGGCUCCACAAUGACUCUAUUUAUUCGCUGCAACCAGCCUGGGCAGAUUGAAUAGGCGAGAGAGAGACACUCAGCCUUCCCAACGCGUGGGCUUUGUGGGAUCCAGUCCCCACUAGCAGAUUUCGACUGCUAAUUUCCCAUUCUCAGGGGUCUCCUGCGAGGAGACACGGCCGUGCCCAUCAACUGCGGUUCCCCCAAACACUGUCCGUGUUUCUAGUCCUUAACCUCUCCGCGUGCAAGUUUAGCAUCAGGAGAAGUUUUAUCAUUUAGUGUUUCUUUGCUGGAUCUCCGGCAAUGUUUCUGUGGAUUAAAAAAAAAAAAAAAAAAAAAAAAAAAAAAGCCAAAUAUUUUAUUUGACGAUAUGUGUAUACACACACACACACACACCACGCACACAAUUGUCAAGUGAGGGAAAAGAUACUCCUUUAAUAUUGGAAAGAAACCCAGGGAUUUUUUUUCCCCCGAGUGGUCUGAUUGUUAUAAAUAAUUACGGAUGAAAAGAAAACUCACUUAUUAUGCACUUCUAAUACUGUGACUGCACAAGAGAGAAAGGGGGCCAAACCAGUGAUUAAUUAAUAUCGUACUGGCGUAGCUAUUUUCUCGCGAAAGGCCUUUCCCCCCUCGCUGCUACUGAGUUAUCAUUCCAGCUCGAGUCAUGUGUAGCUAGGAAGGGAUCUUGUUUAUAAAUUUAUAUGACGACCUUUUCUUUGUGUGUGCUCUAAAGUUGAUAUGGACAAAUUGCAGAGGUAUACAAUUUAAGUAGAUGCACUUUUAAUCACCGAUCAUUAAAAUGGUUAUGUUAAAUAUACUCAAUUACAUGCAUGACUUCACCCUAACAGUACUUUCUAUUCUCCCAGCUGCUCACGUAUUCCUUAACUAUAGCCAGCAGAAGAAACUCGAUUAUGCUGAAUCCAUACAUUUCUAUGGAUUUCAUCAGCCUAAUUAAUGCUUCAGUGUGGUCCAUGUGUCUGAAUGGUCCCUUUGCUAUUACUUGGGUAAGGAGGCAGUGCUGGAAUGCAGAGGGUCUUUCUUUCAAAGAUACCCAUGGGGGUCACUCUAGGACUCUAAUGGCAAAGGUAGCAAGUGUUAAAUAGCAGAAACAUGCAGAGAAAGGGAAGGCAGGGAUGUAAAAGGGACAUUGAUACUGUAGGUAUGCCCAACAGGUCAGUGAUGAUAAUUAAAACGCUUGAAGAAGAAAAGGUAAAUGGAAAGCUUCCACAAUUCGCAGCAUGCCUGGUUAAAAGCAAACGAACCAGCGCAAAGAAACGCGCCUGACGAGGGAAAAAAAAAAAAAAAAAAAAAAAAAGUUGACAGCAGAUUUUUAGACUAAAUAACUACUAGGGCAGCCUCUUCUGUGAGCAGUGCGUUUGAAUGCCCCGUCCCUUCUCUAAUUUUCUCGUUGUGGAAAUGCGACGUGUCAGGGAGAGGAUGCCCGGCCGGGCAGAGCGGCGCUCCCACGCUGCCGGUCCUGGCACCAGCGGGGCUUCCUGCAGUCCCCUGUCACUGCAGAUGCACGGGCCGCUGGGGGAAGGAAGGAGCUCUCCCCCUCCUCUCCAAGCUUUCUUUCGAAACCAAGAAGCGAUUAAAAUGAAGGGGAUGUUGCAGCCUUAGGAGAAACAGCCAAUGGCGGCUUUUAUAGCACAUCUUCCCAUCUUAGCAUUUAGCGGGAUAUAAAAGGCACGCGUCCUGCUAUUCCAGCAACAUUUUAAUCGACGAGAAACGCAUCGAGAUUUUUUUUUUUUUUUUUUUUUUUUUCCUCCCACCUGUUGUAGUAGAAGACCAUCUGAUCACACAUUUCUCUGGCUGCUGGGAGACGUGAGAGAAAAUCAGAAUUCUUUCUUGUCACCCACUGCUCUGCCAAAAAGGUGGUGUUGGAGACCGCAGCUCUUCCCUGUUUCUCCACCAAACAAUCGACAGCUCAAUUGUCCUAACUUCGAGUCGGUGCUUCUCUUCAUCCUUCAUCCUUCAAGUGGAGAGAGAAAGCAGGGAAGAUUUCAGAUCUAUAACCAAAUUAUAACCUAGGAACUUUAUGCUUGUCAUGCUAAUUUAAUGACUUUUAUAGUAAGUGUAGACUUUCUGUCUUUUGAAAUUAGCUCUUCAAAACGCUUUGUGUAAUGACAGGCACUAGACAUAAGAGACAAAUGCACAAGCAAUAGUGGGAUAAUAAUCUGGCAAACACUGCACCAUUUAAUAUUAAAAUGGAGAACAAAGUGCGUUAAAUUUCAGCGUAGAGGUGCAUCAUUG